GAUGAACGCUGGCGGCGUGCCUAAUACAUGCAAGUCGAACGAAACUUCUUUAUCACCGAGUGCUUGCACUCACCGAUAAAGAGUUGAGUGGCGAACGGGUGAGUAACACGUGGGCAACCUGCCCAAAAGAGGGGGAUAACACUUAGAAACAGGUGCUAAUACCGCAUAACCAUAGUUACCGCAUGGUAACUAUGUAAAAGGUGGCUAUACUACCGCUUUUGGAUGGGCCCGCGGCGCAUUAGCUAGUUGGUAGGGUAAAGGCUUACCAAGGCAAUGAUGCGUAGCCGAAUUGAGAGGUUGAUCGGCCACAUUGGGACUGAGACACGGCCCAAACUCCUACGGGAGGCAGCAGUAGGGAAUCUUCCACAAUGGGCGAAAGCCUGAUGGAGCAACGCCGCGUGGGUGAAGAAGGUCUUCGGAUCGUAAAACCCUGUUGUUAGAGAAGAAAGUGCGUGAGAGUAACUGUUCACGUUUCGACGGUAUCUAACCAGAAAGCCACGGCUAACUACGUG
rnacentral:rRNA from 1 species